AUUGAACGCUGGCGGCAUGCCUUACACAUGCAAGUCGAACGGUAACAGGUUAAGCUGACGAGUGGCGGACGGGUGAGUAAUAUAUCGGAACGUGCCCAGUCGUGGGGGAUAACGUAGCGAAAGCUACGCUAAUACCGCAUACGAUCUACGGAUGAAAGCGGGGGAUCGCAAGACCUCGCGCGAUUGGAGCGGCCGAUAUCAGAUUAGGUUGUUGGUGAGGUAAAGGCUCACCAAGCCUGCGAUCUGUAGCUGGUCUGAGAGGACGACCAGCCACACUGGAACCGAGACACGGUCCAGACUCCUACGGGAGGCAGCAGUGGGGAAUUUUGGACAAUGGACGCAAGUCUGAUCCAGCAAUGCCGCGUGCAGGACGAAGGCCUUCGGGUUGUAAACUGCUUUUGUACGGAACGAAACGGCGAGCUCUAAUACAGUUUGCUAAUGACGGUACCGUAAGAAUAAGCACCGGCUAACUACGUGCCAGCCGCCGCGGUAA
rnacentral:rRNA from 1 species